ACUCAAAUGAAUUGACGGGGGCCCGCACAAGCGGUGGAGCAUGUGGUUUAAUUCGAUGCAACGCGAAGAACCUUACCUGGGUUUGACAUCCACUGACAGUCCUAGAGAUAGGAUUUCUCCUUCGGGAGCAGUGAGACAGGUGCUGCAUGGCUGUCGUCAGCUCGUAUCGUGAGAUGUCGGGUUAAGUCCCUUAACGAGCGCAACCCUUGUCCCUUGUUGCCAUCAUUCAGUUGGGCACUCCAGGGAGACCGCCGGUGUUAAACCGGAGGAAGGUGGGGAUGACGUCAAGUCCUCAUGGCCCUUAUGUCCAGGGCUACACACGUGCUACAAUGGCCAGUACAAAGGGUAGCUAACCCGCGAGGGGGAGCUAAUCUCAGAAAGCUGGUCUCAGUUCGGAUUGAAGUCUGCAACUCGACUUCAUGAAGCUGGAAUCGCUAGUAAUCGCGGAUCAGAACGCCGCGGUGAAUACGUUCCCGGGCCUUGUACACACCGCCCGU
rnacentral:rRNA from 1 species